rnacentral:rRNA from 1 species
CCAAUAGCGUAUAUUAAAGUUGUUGCAGUUAAAAAGCUCGUAGUUGAAUUUCGAGACCGGUUUACUGGUCGUGCUUUUGUACGUACUGGUAUUAUUGGUUUCUCCUUUCUGACGAAUCAUAAUGCCAUUAAUUUGGUGUUUUGGGGAAUCAGGACUGUUACUUUGAAAAAAUUAGAGUGUUUAAAGCAGGCUCACGCUUGAAUACAUUAGCAUGGAAUAACGAAAUAGGACGUUUGAUUUUAUUUUGUUGGUUUCUAGGAUCGACGUAAUGAUUAAUAGGGAUAGUUGGGGGCAUUAGUAUUCAAUUGUCAGAGGUGAAAUUCUUGGAUUUAUUGAAGACUAACUACUGCGAAAGAAUUUGCCAAGGAUGUUUUCAUUAAUCAAGAACGAAAGUUAGGGGAUCGAAGACGAUCAGAUACCGUCGUAGUCUUAACCAUAAACUAUGCCGACUAGGGAUCGGAUGAUGUUAAUUUUUUAAUGACUCAUUCGGCGCCUUACG